CAGUCGCCACGGUAAUACGAAGGGUGCAAGCGUUAAUCGGAAUUACUGGGCGUAAAGCGUGCGUAGGCGGUGAGUUAAGUCUGCUGUGAAAUCCCCGGGCUCAACCUGGAAUGGCAAUGGAUACUGGCUCGCUAGAGUGUGUCAGAGGAUGGUGGAAUUCCCGGUGUAGCGGUGAAAUGCGUAGAGAUCGGGAGGAACAUCAGUGGCGAAGGCGGCCAUCUGGGACAACACUGACGCUGAGGCACGAAAGCGUGGGGAGCAAACAGGAUUAGAUACCCCCGUAGUCCCUGUCUCUUAUACA
rnacentral:rRNA from 1 species